CGCUUGUCGCAGAGGCAAUAUCGUAACCAAUGAGGUUAAUCCGAGGUGCGAUUAUUGCUAGUUGAAAACCCCGUGGGCCCAGCUAAUUAAUACUAUAAAUUGAUAGACACAUUUGAUAGAAAUUCAAGAUUAUUGUAUGUACUA